GAGCAGAAAGUAUCUAGGCUCUCCCAACACUUGGUUUGGAGUAUGUUUGUUUUGGAAUUGGGUUUCCUGAUAAGAGGAAUGUGAGGCACCUUCUCAGCAGAAUGUUAGCUUAAUAGCAGUGAGCCUUGGUUGUAGACAUCUAUUUCUUCUUGUUCCAUUCCCUUCCAGCCAAGACCAGAGUAAAUAAGGGAGUUUUAGGACUUCAAGACUGUGUAAAAUGGCUGAAUUACAAAGUAAUGAACACUCUUUGUGACUGGAGUCAUAGCACACGUAUUUAUUGCUAAGCAACACAGACUGAUGUCAAUGAGUUUUGCCAAAUGCAGAUGUUCUGCCAGAACAUCUCACUCCAAAUAUAACUGUUGUACCAUUACUGAGUGCUGAUGCAUAAUCCUGCUGAGAAGUUGUGCCAAAUCAUACAAAAUGCUUGUACUGUGGAAAUGCAUACACUGAAUUCAUCUGACAAUUUCCAUCUGAGCCCAAAGAUCCCAGAGGAAAAACAAAUUCAUUCAUCAGCUCCAAGUGCCCCCAUGAAAACCAUGUUGAUCAGCUGAAUGUUGACACAGAACUUAUCCCAUAAUGAAGCUCCUCCCAGAUAACAGCAUGAACACCUCAGACUCCACCCUUGAUUGAAAAAAGCAUCGCUAUGCAGAAAAACAAGACCUGUUUCCCUCUUACUGAAAUCAAUGGGACAUCAGAACAUGUGUAAAGUUAUUCACAUGCUGAAGUGCUGUCAUAAGCAUUUUCUUGCAUGCUUUCCUGCAUGAGGGCUUCCAUGCGGCUGAUUCCUCUCCUUCUAUUGCACACGUUACUGCUCUUCCAGUGAGGGUUCCAAGCUCCUACUAUCUAGUCUGCAGAUUCUACUUUCCAGCUUCAGCUCCAUUUCAAUCUAUUGCUCACUAGACACAUGUGACUUGAAAUCUGUCCCCACUACAUGCUUCAGUUGAAAGGAACAUGAUAUAUUUUAUUUAUGUUCCAACCAAUUAAUCUGAACUUGACGAGGAACUAAUUCCUUAGAGUUAAAUUAUGUAACCCUUCUCACAUAAAGAAAAGUCUGCCCAUGCUACCAGCCCCAAUAUAGCUAUAGAGUCUACUCAUGUAAGUAACUUCUCCACAGUCUGGGACUUAAUACUGACUAUCACAGCUGAAGAUUUGUAUCCGAGCACAAAAGCACAGUAAUAUUUUUCUCAUGUUCAAAUAAAUACACAUAAAAUAUUUUUGUCCCACAAAAAAUUGGAUUAACUCUAUUAAGGCUGAAAAAAGCUAAAAUUAUAGAUUAAAAGCUUACAAUCAAGUAGGCUUUGGGAUGGGUAAACUUGUCUCAGUGACAUAACUUUUGAGCAAUUACUGAAAGCAAACCCAAAAUCUAGACUUUGUAAGAUUCACCAUUCUAUACUGUCCAUGUUAACUUUAACUACUACACCAUUGAGAGUCUGAGACAAUAAGACAAUUUCAUUACAUCUGGUUUUAAAUAUUCAAUACGUCACCACCAUCCCAGCUUUGAAAAUAUAUAGUUCUUUCCAAAAAAAAAGCAUAUGCUGUGCACAAAAAAUUAAAAUGGAAGAAUACCUCAGAGGAAGGCAGGGUCUGUCAAAUUCCACUGAAUUUAAAUAGCAACUUUUAUGAACAACUUUGGUUAAAUGCUGAUUGAAAUUACUGGAAACUCAUACAUGUACUAUAAUAUAUUAAUAAGAACCACAAUAGUUUAAAAUGCAUUAAAUUACAGGUUGAAACUCUUAACUGGGACUAGAGCUGGACUCUUAACAUGGUCCAGCUGGACCACAGUUGUGGCCAGCCUUGAUUGUCCCAGUAAAGAGUUAGCACCUAGGAGCCCUGCAGGCUGGCAGGUCAGCGGGAGCCCAAUGCACGGCAGUGGGACCGCCCAGAAGGGCGGUGAGGCUGCCUGGUCCGAAAGUAGGAAUAGGCAUGGACAGAGGCAGCGGGGCUGCCGAGUACUGCAGAUGCUGCCUGAUAUGCACAGAAGCAGCAGGGCUGCUCGGUAGGACAGCGGGGGCCAGCAAAAGUGGGGAGCUGGCCGGGAGG